UAUAUCCUUCCUUUAUUCUCUUCCAUCUUCAAGUGAAUCAGGGUUUGUUGUACCUCGCGGAUGGAGUAAAUUGUUUGAGAACUUUUUAUUUCUUUCAAUAGUUUCAGACAAUCCAGAGAUGGUGCUAGAACCUUUAACACAAGCUUCGGAAGAACUUCAACUAUUGGAGUAUCAUGAAUUAGCAUCAGAAGCUUUCUACUUGAUGGCCAUUGUAUACGACAAGCUCGGGCGGUUUGAUGACAGGGAAGAAGCCGCGUCUUCGUUUAGGAAGCACAUUACUGCAUUUGAGAAUCCAGAAGAAAUGGACGAUUCUCUCUUCAGAAAGUCCCACUAACAGAGCCAAUAUCCCUUGACAUAUCAGUUAAAGACAAUACACAAGACUUAACUUCUGCAUUCUUAUCGAUAUGUUCCAGCCUGUGGCUCGAAGAGAUACCACAAUCUGUGACCAGUAAAAUCAAGA